rnacentral:rRNA from 1 species
AUACGGAGGGUCCAAGCGUUAUCCGGAUUCAUUGGGUUUAAAGGGUCCGCAGGCGGGAAAAUAAGUCAGUGGUGAAAGCCUACAGCUCAACUGUAGAACUGCCAUUGAUACUGUUUUUCUUGAGUAUAGAUGAAGUGGGCGGAAUAUAUCAUGUAGCGGUGAAAUGCAUAGAUAUGAUAUAGAACACCGAUUGCGAAGGCAGCUCACUAAACUAUUACUGACGCUCAGGGACGAAAGCGUGGGGAGCGAACAGGAUUAGAUACCCCAGUAGUCC